AGCGCGGGCACCUCCGGGAGGCGGCCUCGAGGGCGCCCACCGGGCUCCAAGAACAAGCCGAAGCCACCGGUCAUCGUCACCCGCGAGAGCCCCAGCGCGCUCCGCUCUCAUGUUCUAGAGAUCAGCAGCGGCACCGACAUCGUCGAGGCCAUCUCCAACUUCGCCCGGCUCCGGCAGCGGGGCGUCUGCGUCCUCAGCGCGAGCGGCGUCGUCGUUAACGUCAGCUUGCGCCAGCUCGCCGCCCCUCCCGGAGCGGUCGUCACGCUCCACGGCCGAUUUGACAUUCUAUCCCUCUCGGGGUCAUUCCUCCCCCCGCCAUCGCCGCCUGGCGCGACCGGACUCACAGUCUACCUCGCCGGGGGGCAGGGCCAGGUCGUCGGCGGCAGCGUGGCUGGGCCCCUCGUCGCUUCCGGCCCCGUGCUGGUGAUCACCGCGACCUUCACAAACGCCACCUACGAGCGGCUACCCAUCGAGGAAGACGCCACCUCGGCCUCCGCUGGCACCGGUGCCUCUGAAGACCAGCUGCCGCAGGGAGGUGCGAGGUUGAGCGGGGGCACCGACGGGGGCCUCUCCCCUCAUGAUGUCGGUAGAAGGUUUGGGGGAGACCCGGCGGGAAUGUCUCUCUACGGUCUGACGGCGAACCCCAUGAACAAUGGCCAUCUUCAUCACGACCUGUUCGGAGCGUGGGCUCAGCAGCAGCCGCCGCACCGCCCCUCACCGUCCUACUGAAGAUUCAUCCCUCCCUCCCCUCGUCAACCUCUCCCAAAUUUCUGCUGUUCAAUCCACCGAGAGGUUUAUAAUUAUCAGCUUUCGUGUUUCUCCGUCUCUUGUGGGAUCGGCUGGUCUCCUCCUCCCCCUGGAACUCCACUUGUUCCCAUCUUGCUGUGUAUUCUUUAGAAUAUUUUACUGAUGGAAAAAUACUUUAAAGUUUUUCAUGGAAAUCUACAUCUUUUUAUAAGGAAGACGAGCGUCGCCGAACCGAACUAAGUAUCGAUCGGUGGUUCGUUAGAUUAUUCAGUUCUCUUCUUUGGUACCUUGAAGAAAGCUCUUCUCCGGAGACUUGCUGCUGCCUGUCUUGUCCUUUCCUAUCCUUUCAGGUCAGAAUCCUCUGGCGGCGCCGCCGUUCUGGGGGGAUAGGCUGAAAAUCGGUGAAGAUGCCCUUGUUCAUUGCAGGUAAGUCGUCGGAGCAGCGCGUUCGACUUUAAUUCAGAUGGGUGCUUACCUUUAGCCGUUUGAGCGUUAGGUGGCUCACUUCCGGACAAGGGAAGCCUCUGACCUUCUCGCCGGUUGCGGGACAAGUUUUUCUUCCUCUCUCUCUCUCUCUCUAAUAAAUAGUAGAACCACACGCGAAUAUACGUCACUUGUGGAAUCCCCCAGUAAUCGAAAUUUCAGAAAACGUGUACAUUAACAUAAUAUCGAUUACGUUAUCUUCUGGCUGUUGGAGAAAAUCACGAUCAAAUUUGAGUCAUUUACAUAAAAAAUUCCAUCUUUUUAGUUCGCAAUACUCGUCUUCGCAGUAAUCAUGUUUAUUGAUGUAUAGUGCGGGUUCAACGGAAACCGGUUCAAAUCAUCACUGCAGCCAGCCAGCUGUUAAAUUCACACUAGAAGAGAUAAUAUGGCUAGUGAACUAUAUUUUUACACAAAAAAAGCAAAUCUCGUUGACUAUUGUGUCCAAUUGGAUUCCUAUUCUCCCCACAUGUUGACCAAAUUUGAUGUGUAUACCUAUUCUGAUGAUGGGUUCCUCACCCCCAUAAUCGAGUCCGAUAUCAUGCAGUCGUUGUACCAGAACCCCCCAUCAAAUCUUAGAUGCUUUGGCCCAGUGGCAUAUCAAGAAUUUAGUCAUGAUUUAAUGGGAUUUUGAUUGAGAUAUAUUGGUCGCAACUGAUGAAUAAACAAAAUGAGUGCCAUUUCCUAAUUGGAACGAAUUGAAAAAAAACAGAUGGGCCGUAGACUGGUAAGCCAAAGUCCACAAAGCCCAUAAGCUAGAGGAAGGUCGUCUACAUCAGCUAGGCCAAAAAUAUAUGAAAUAAAUGGUAACUUACGCUCGCCAUAUGCCUUAAUUUUACCUAAUUAAACCUAGAGAUUGAUGUGGCGUCAUGACACGUAGAAUCAACUACUUAGGAGAAUACUCAAUAAUUGUCGGUUUGAUUCAAUGGAAUUGAUGGCCAUCCGAUUUGACCAAUUUUGGUCAGGCAGUGCGGCCGAACCAACUGACACUGUAUGUAGUCAAUCUAUUUGUCAGUGGACCAAGUGCUUGGAGACCAAGAGACCCAUACAGAUAAGUUACCCCCCACACCCAUCCCUUCCUCAGCUCCAGUUAACCUACAUGUUCCCUGUCCCUUGAUUGCCUACAUCUCCCUCCCACAAGCCCACCUGUUUCCUCUUCCCUUGGCUAGCCUCAGCUCUCCCAAUCUAGAAGCUCACAGUUUUUGAAAGGUAAAAUAUUUUAUCUUAGGAUUGGCCUGGCCGCAGAGCAAGAAGGUAAACAUGUAACUAGCUAGUUUCAUCAAUAUUAUGCGAUUUGAUUUCUUAGCUGUAACAGCUAAAAGCGCAUUACAUGAGAAGAAAGUAUGUUUCUUUGAUGGACUUAGAAAUGAGACACCUUUAAUAAAAAUGAGUUCUUUAGUCCGUUUGGUCCUCAAGGCCAAGUAGAUCAGUAACCGGUGCUGAAUUAGGUUAUGAUAUUCUUAUGGAGAACAAAUAGAAAUUUAUAAGCAAACGCUGAUUAAUUAUAAUCAACACCAGAUCUUAAUCCAAUUGACACGUCCUACUCCUUUCUUAUGUGACUCUUUGUAGGCAUCACUAAACCUACCAUACAUGGUGGUAUAUGGUGCCACAUCAACUAUACCAAUAGAGUGAUUGUAACGACUUGGCUUUGACAAGCCCUAGGCUCACGGUUCUAAGUAGGAGGUGGCAUAUGACAUCCUUCCAACGGAUGCUUCAGAAAUCAUUCCCCAUGAACCCCAACGCUAAUUUUGUCACAAGUUCAUGACAAUAGAAAUAUUAAUUGAAAUGAGAAGAAAUUUUGUGCUACCAUCAGAUACUAAAAACACUAUCGCCCUCUAUAAUCAGACGUGGGGUUGUUUUCUUGGUCAGUGACUCAAACUUAAUGUAGUCUCAAUAUCUUACAUAUUCUUGAAUGUAUGCGCCAAGACUAGGUCGAAAUUUCUUGAAACAUUAACGCCACUCGCUGUAAAUUUAGCAGGCUUAUUCGGGGUCUCAAUGAUUGAAACGUGUAAUUUGAUUUUAUUUUUGUAUCAAUCCCUCCAAAAAAUGAUGGGUCAAGUCUGCAAAAUGAGGUGUAGAUCUAUUAUUGGGACCAAAUCUAUAAGAAAAAAUAUUAUCUCAAUUUCCAAAUGACACCUCUGCUUCUCUACUACCGAGUAUCUACCGUUGGUUUGCCUUAUCUUGGCCACCUUAAUGGAUUAUGCUCGUUAGAAUUCCCUGAAGACUGGUUUUGGUAAGAUCUGAGCUGUGGGUGAGGCACUCAUGUUUAUUUAGUUUAUUUUUCAUAGCAUAACAUUUGUUAAAACUAGUCAUGAAUCUAGGUUAUGCAUAAUUUUUUCUCUAAUUCAAUUUAUGGACGGUUUUAUAAUAAAUAAAAAACGUAGGAAUAUAUAAAAAACAUGGUCUCCUAUCGACAUCACUUCCAACAAGAACAGUUCUAGAGCAUUGAAGUUAGUGGGUAUCAACUGGGUCAGAGGUUUCAGUAGUGGCAAUCAAUUCAACCUCCUUCAAAUGGAGAAACGAGAGCCUCAUACUAGGAGAAAUGGUGUGCCCGCUGGCACAUGCAUGUGAGUUUCUUUAUGUAUUGUAUGUACCGAGGUAGAUAGAUAGAGAUAUGGGGGGAGAGAGAGAGAGAGAGAGAGAGAGAGAGAGAGAGAGAGAGAGAGAGAGAGAGAGAGAGAGAGAGAGAGAGAGAGAGAGAGAGAGAGAGAGNNNNNNNNNNNNNNNNNNNNAGAGAGAGAGAGGGAGGGAGGAUGCUACUUAUCCCGGGAUUCAACCUUGGGAAGGAAAGAUGAUCGAAGCAAGUGGCAAGUAAUCUACCAUUUUGGUCUAUGUAUCAAGAUGCAUGUGGUGGAUGAUGAACCCAGCUCACCCCAUUUAUUAUUAAUCGUUUCAUCAUCAUGGCCACUACUCAAAGAAGUGAACCCCUCCUCAGGAGACACGCCCAUCUGCGUUUCCAACGAACAUAUGGUGGGCCAUUCUGAAUGUGUAUCGCGACGACUUAUUUGUAAGGUAGUCCUUCCCUGCGGCAGCUUGCCUCGAAUUCUUAGAAUUGACCCGCCAUCCCAACCAUGACGAUUAAUCGCAGCGGAUCUUCUUUAGUUCCAUGCGAAUGCUCGUCGACAUUGCAGACAAAUUGGCGGAGUUAGUCGUCCUUGAACGAGUCCCCCGUCGAGUCGCAUCCGAAAGUGAGGGGGGACGAGAACGGUUGAGUCUGAUGAGAACGACUGCAUCGACGCGGUUUCGGCCGAGCCUGUUCCAUGUGACCGUGCAUGCGAUGCCGGCGUCCUCUCACAUACAAAACCUGGCCCGUCUCCGAUUAUAAAAACAAAGUCUCUCGAUCAACGGUCGAGACGUCUGCGUGUCAAACGCGCCAAAACCGACGGCCGUUGACUUUUACGGAGGCUCAUGAACACAGCCUAGUUUGUUCUCUAUCCAUGCGUUUGUUUAAUCAGGUGGGGCGACGUCGAGCGCGGAGGUCGGCGAGCGCCCAGUGGGUGUGUGGAACGAAUGAUGCUUGACCACGGGUCUAUAAUAAGUUAAGUGGCUCUGGCGGAUGAGGUUUGUUUACGCGUUCAUUCAUUGGAACGCGAACGCGUCUUUGGAAUUGUUUUGGUAGAAACCGUCGGCGACCCCCACAAGUACCGCCCUCCUCCCCCGCCCGCUCCCUUCUGCAUCUCCGCCACCGCAGGUCCAGAAGCCCGGAUUAGGGCUCUCCUCCACCCUCCCUUCUUCCCCAGAGGACUUGGAAAAAAGUCGCCUCUUUUUUGUCGCUGUGGUUGCGGGUAAGGGGAAGGGGGACGGAGGGAGGGAAGCUGGUCAGUCCUCCGUCUCUCGGCCUCUGGUGACAAGCUCCAAUGGUGGUCGUCUGGCCGACUGCGUCCAAGGCAUGGCUCCUCGGCCUCCAAGUAGGGGAGCGACUAGGACCACUCUUCCAGCCCAAACAGGGGGACCGGGGGAGCGACCCGCGCCGCCUGGGCAUCUUGGCGUUCGAGGCAGUCCGCACCAUGUCGAGGCUCAUCAGCCUCUACCGCGCCCUUUCUGAAGCGGAGGUCCACAGCCUCAUCUCCGGCACUGUAUGUUCCCAGGGCGUCGCCUAUCUCAACUCAGCCGACAAGGGAGCCCUCCUCCGUCUCGCCUGCGCCGAGAUGGUCGACGAUCUCGACAUCGCCGCCGCGGCGGUUGCUCGUCUCGGUAGCCGGUGCGGAGGUGUCUGGCCGCGAGGAUUUGAGUUCGUGUACGCCGAUCUCAAGGCGGGGACGGAGGACAUGUCCCACCUGGUCCUUGGCUUCCAUCCCAAGGACGUCGACAGGAAGAUGAAGAAGAUGGAGAAGUACGUGGCGUCGACGUCGACACUCUACGCCGCCAUGGAGGACCUGGCUGAGCUGGAGACCUGGGGGAUGCGCCGGCUGGGGAAAUCAGAGAACUUGACGGAAUCCUCAUUUGAAUCCUUCCGAAAGCGGUUGAGCCAGACGAGAAAUAGGGUCCGCCAGCUCCGGGAGGAGUCCCUCUGGAGCCGGAGCUUCGAGAAGGUGGCCGAACUCAUGGCACGGUCCAUUGUCUCAGUCUUCGCGCGGCUAUGCGCGGUUUAUAGACCCUUCGUGCCGGAGCUUCCCGACGUCGUCCUGGAUCGCCAGGGAAGGGUGAAGUUCUUCGCUCAUUACCCUAGCCGCCUCUGCUACCCGGCCUACCACUCCAAACAUCCUGGGGGAAUCUAUUCGUCGGGGCCUCUCGAGAGGCCCUACGUGGGGAACUUGCAUAUGAGGAACUCAGGUCCCCUCCUGCGGACAACCGAAAAGGAUGCGUCCGUCGACAGGUCGUGGAAGGAGAGGGCGCUCGAGCCGCUGGAGAACACGCUGGGGGCCACCGGCAUGGCUCUGCGGUGCGCGGAGGUCGUCGUCUUCCUCGAGAAGCUGGCCGUGUCGCCGGAGCUUGUUGCAGAGGAGUCGCGGGAUGAGCUCUACCGGAAGCUCCCCAAGGGGCUGCGUGGGGCCGUAAUGGCGAAGCUGCGGAGCCACAGCAAGCUGGAUGACGGGUUCGGCCCCUCAGAUGCCCUGGCCAGCGGGUGGAGGGAGGCAGUGGACGGGAUCCUCUCAUGGCUGGCGCCCAUCGCCCGAGACACGGUGCGGUGGCAGUCGGAGAGGAGCCUCGAGAAGAGGCAGAUAAGCUCAGAACCUAAGGUCUUAAUGAUGCAGACUCUGAUCUUCUCCGACAGGGAGAAGGCGGAAGCGGCCAUCGUCGAGCUCCUUGUGGCGUUUAGCUACGUCUGCCGGUACAGUUAAGCGGCACGGGACCUGCGGCGAGAGCUCAGAUGGUUCUCCGCUAGCGCGCUCUUCGUUCUUUGGAUUCACUGUUAGCAUUCUUUAAGAAGAUUACUGUUUAUGAAUAACUGAUACAUUGAUAACGUCACUCAAUUGGUUUCUCUACAUCUUCUCACUAGGCUGUAAAUUCUUUGGUUUAUCUCAUGAGACGGAAAUCUGAUGGAUUCUUCCCAUCUUGUGAAUGACUAAUCACGCUGUCACACACAAAUCAGUGUUAAACUUCGUCGCUGUUUGGGGAUUAUUUCAAUUAGGCAUCGAUUGCAAGAGAUCUUGGAGGAAUCGGAAUUCUCAAUGCAAUUGUCACGAGUGAUAGCCAGAUCUUGUCUGCUCAAUCUUUUCUCCCAACACAUUUAUAGCGGGAUUUUGGGAAAUUUCAAGGGAAAAUAAUAUUUACAUAGAUUCGGAGGCGUUCUGUAAAGUCUCAGGGGGGAGAGAAAAUGUGAGAGAAGAGAGGGGAGGGGAGGGAGAGAGAUAGAGAGGGAAGGAAGACUAGAUGAAACGAGGAGGACAAGUCGGGUGAGAAUUCUUCUCCGGAAUCAGUCCAAUUUUUUUUCGCAUUGAGAAGUUAUACACAUUAGCAUUUUACAAGGUAGCGUCAAACAAAUCAUAUUUCACCACCUUCACUAAAAACUAUUUCAACUAAAUCGAUUCCACCAUGUUCAAUAUGUCAGCAGGAAGACCGCCAUGGUCCAAAAAAGUCAUGGGUUGCUGAGGACUUGUGGGUGGCAAUGGAAAGCCCCCGGUAAGGGAAAGAGUCGCCAGCGGUGGUAUCACCACCGACCACUAGGUUGGCGCUUCUCUGGCUACCUUGGCGAGACCGUGUAGGCCUUCCUGGCCAGGUAUCAAACUCGUGGGCCACCGUGGAAUGUUCCCGGUUAGGGAAGGAGUCGCCGGCUGUGAUGCCGUCACCGAUAAGUUUGCCGCUUCGCUGGCUCCCUACCACGGCAGGUCCUCUCACCCGGCGGCGUCUGCGGCCAGGCUUGCCCGUCAACUCUUUUCCCUCCUGUCUUCCAUACUGAGGGGAAGAGAGAGACUUAAUGCAUUGGCACAUUGGGAAUCGAUAGAGGUGGCGGCGGCGGCGGUGCCGCCCCUGGGGCUGUUUGGCGCCGCGCUGGAGCCCGCUGCCGGACUCUUCUCCUGUGCCACGGUUGCAACGGCCGUACCCGUGGCGUUCCAUCCUUAAGCUCAAGUUUCCUGAUCAAGGUUGCUACUUUUGCAACACGGUGUUGCCCAAAAGCUACCAUGCCCAUUCCUCACGUUAUUAAUGAAAUAUACAGAGAUGAUGUAGUGAUAAGACGACAUAUAUUGGGCGGAGGGGGAGGGGAGAGAGAGAGAGAGAGCCAGCUGGCUAGUGCACAUUCUAUUUGCGAUGAGGAGAUGAUACCGCGAUCGAUAACACGUGGUGGGGGGGGGUGAGAGAGAGAGAGAGAGAGAGAGAGCAGCUGUUUCUCAUUGCCGCGUAUCUCGGCGGCAGAUGAUCGGGUACAUAUUAGCGGACUCCGUUUGGGAAAUCAACAGCUGUUAGAUUGGGCUCUCUAUGGUCAAACGCGGAAAUGACGUUUACGUUACGACUCACAGUAACGUCCCUUGUCUUCUCUGGCUGCCAUCAACCACAACCAAUCCGCCAUUUGACUCGCUGCUCUAAGACCAUGAGCAGUAUAUCCCGGUCCUUAGCUUGGCCCUCGGUUCUUCAUCAGCCAGCAAUGGCGGUAUCCUCUGCCGUCCUCCUCCGCUAGAAUACUUGGAGUUCUUCGCGCUCCGCCGUCGAUAGGAUGAGUUCUGAUCAGCUUGGGAGGACACCUGCAGUCUCUAUUGAUGAAGCCGCAGCUAAUCCCUUCGAAGAACAGGAUCCUCGGCCUUGUCCCUUCUUCCCCUCGUUUGCACCCGCAGCCACCGUUGGUGCCCCUCCUCUGUCUCCAUUCUCUUCGCCGUCAAACGCUGUCAUCUCCAGCCCUUGGGACCUUGACCGCUCGCACCCUCUCUCGGUCGCCUCACCCGACCGCUGCGUGGCGACGGUGACCAAGCGUGGUGGGAGGGUCCUUUCGCUCGCCGUUUCUGGCGGCGGUUUCUUGUACGCUGGCACUGAGUCGAAGGCGAUUCGCGUCUGGAGAGACCCUGGUUUCUUCGAUAUCAGUCAGCUAAGGUCCAGCAGUGGCGAUGUAAAUGCGCUCCUGGUCUCGUCAGGAGAAGGAUUGAUCUUCAGUGCACACGCCGACUGCAAGAUUAGGGUUUGGAAUUCGAGCCCUGUCCAUUUCAGGAAGGGGACGUUGCCGUCUGCCAUGGAAUGUCUCAUCAAGCUCUGUUGGAGUCAGCCCAAGAAGACGCUCAUGAAGAUUACUUCUUCUCAUUCCUAUUCACUCCUUAGCGGCGUGGACCACCGGCCCAGGCACGGCGGUACCAUCACGAGCUUGACGUAUGAUCCGGCCGCGAAGCUCCUCUACUCGGCUUCCUCUGACAGCACCUUCAAGGUGUGGAGUAUCGGAGAGAUGCGGUGUGUCGAGACGGUGCAAGCUCACGACGGCAGCGUGAACGCGCUGGCCGUCGUCGUUCCUGAUACCGUGGUCUUCACAUGCUCCGACGACGGCAAGGUGAAGGCGUGGCGGAGAAGUCCCGGCAAGAGAUGCUCCCACGCUCUCUUGUCUCAGAUGGAUACGCACGGUACCCCGGUAAAGUCCCUUGUCGCAGCUAGAGAAGCCGGCGGGGUGGAGGAACUCUUCGUGCUAUACGCUGGCUGUUCCGACGGUUCUGUGCGUUACUGGAAGAAGGGGGGCUCGACUGGCCAACUGGCAUACUUGGGCUAUUUGAGGGGUCACGGCCAGGCCGUCCUCUGUCUUGCCGCAGCGGGGAGGACGGUGGUGACUGGGUCGGAGGACGCGAGUGUGAGAGUCUGGAGGAGGUCUGUUGAGGGGCUGGCGACGCACGUCUGUGUGGCCGUUCUGUGUGGCCACAUGGGACCCGUGAAAGCGGUGGCAUGGGGGUGGAAAGCGAGCAGGCGUACCUGGUGUACAGCGGGAGCCUAGACGGCUCAGUGAAGCAAUGGAGGAUCGCCAGGGAUCAGCAAAGACGAUGAAGAUGGUGGCUUCUUCAAUCGAGGGGGAAUGGCUCGGUUGUUGAUAUCAAUUUAACGCAAUAUUCAGACCCACAUUUCUCUGCUCUCUCUGAUACAAGAGCCGACUCUAGUAGGUCAACAUGGGCUUUUGAGAUCGAGAACCAACCUAUUGUUCUGCGUCCUACUCGAGCACAGUGACAGUUCAUCUUCCCGACACGUAUUUCUCUUAUGGAUUGAGACCAAAACGCCUAUGGGGUGUGUGUGUGUGUGUGUGUGAGAGAGAGAGAGAGAGUCAGCUGGUAGGUGAUGGCAGUAAAAAUUGGCCAAGCAAGACCGGACCCACGUUUAACCUGUUAAUUUAAGGAAGAUUAGUGCCCAGAUUAUAAGUAUCUUGGGGAUUGAAGUUUGAUUCCGACCAGGAUACAUAGAUGAUUACAUACGAGCUUGAUUGGUCGGUUUCACCAACCAUCACGAAUGAUGAUCGGUUGAUGACGUCCGAGUUCGAGUGAAUGAAUGGAGGCCUUCAACGGCAUUCACGGCAUUCACGGCAUUCACGAAGGGGUUUGAAUUAAUACAUUUCGACAUUAGUUUGUCGCCUUCCUGUUCGAGUAUUUGAAAAAUUAAUGAUGGAGUACUUUAUUUACCAAUAAUGUUUUUAUUGCCGGGAUUAUUUUAUGGUCUAAGACGUGGAAAAGAGAAGUCGAAAAUCCUACUACAAUGGCAAAAGUACAACAUCACCUGAAAACUCAUAGAAAGGUAAAAAGAUGACAAAAUGCAUGGUAUCAACUGACAAUUCGUGUUGUUCCCAGACCAUCAAAUGCCAUUUUUUUCUCUCUAAAUAAAUUUGAUAUUAUUUCGGUUCGUUUCGUGUGUUUCUUGAUAUACUUUCUAACAGAAUACGACCAUGAGAGCCACAUCUUGGAUUAUAAAGAUCUGAUUAUCAUUCUCAAUGGGAAAAUAGCAAAGCUGACCUCAUUCAAGUUCCUCAGCUUCUUGCCCAAAUGAUCCUUCAGGAAACUGAGCUCGUACCCCCAUGAGUGUCCACCAUGUCUUCGACACCCUUCACAAGACCAAAAAAUAAGAAUAUAUGCAUUUAUGUUCAUAUAUUUUUAAAUUUAACCUGAAUUAUCAGGACCCCAGGAAAAAAUUGACGGGCUGUCUUAAAAGUCAACGACCUUGCUUCAAAAGAGACUCGGAAAAGGGAAAGCGGAAAAUUCCCUGAGCGAUGGACACUUGGAUCGCAGUUGGAAAACCCUUUUGUCCCAUGCGUAUGCUUGAUUAGUAUCAAUUAAUCCAUGCCGAGUUUCAUUUUUGUUCCUAUUGAUUCCAGGAUGUUCCGCCGUCCUUGGACUUUUCGGCGGUGGGGACUCUGUCGGGAAAGUUCUGAUGACGGGCAUGUGGUGUAUGUGAACGAGAACCUUGAGAUUUUACCUGGUGGAAAUUACGGGAAAAAAAAAUUAGGUGCACAGGAGAAAAAUUAGUGGAGAUGAGAGGCCCGUCGCUCGCCUCCUCAUCCUAAUUGCCUCCGAGUGGUGGCAGCCAUGGCCCCCACACCUGAGACCCCAUCUUCACUAACCUCUGGACUCGACUGACCUAAGCAGGAACGACCGUCCGGGAUUGCGCCACGCCAGCGGCAGCGCCACCGGCGUCGUGUGGCUGCGGCGGCGCUUGCAAUCGGAGCCACACGACGCUCGUCCCCACCGAGGACGACUGAGGCAGCCAGCACCUCAGAAGCUCCGGGGGAGGCGGCUAUAUAUUCGCCUGACCUUUCCCCCGCCCCCUGUGGCCAACAUUGACGAGCCGGAAAGCCCUCUGUGAUCCCCACAGGCCUUUCGCUCUCCACGCUUGCUGCCGCGCCGCUAUGGCCGCCGCCGUGUCGCCCGUUGGAGCCGUGAACUCCGUGAGGGUAGGUCCCUCCCCCCCAGGCGUCUCCGGCCACCGACGAGUCUCCUCUCAAUGCUUCUCGUUGUUCAGUUUUAUUUCUCUUUCUCUCGAGGCGGAGGAGUCAAGUGGGUUGUUUGACUUUGCAGCCGAGCCUCCGCAGCUCUGGAUCGGGGCCGUCGGCGCCGGCCUCCUCCUUCUUCGGUGCUAGCCUGAAGAAGGGGAGCUCUCCGGCGAACCAUGGGAGGAUCUCGACGGGGAGCUUCAGGGUGAUGGCAGCUGACCUCGACGAGAGCAAGCAGACCUCUGGGGACAGAUGGGGCGGGCUCUACUACGACAUGUCGGACGACCAGCAGGAUAUCACCAGGGGGAAGGGGCUGGUCGACUCCCUCUUCCAGGCCCCCACCGGCCAGGGCACCCACGAUGCUGUCCUCAGCUCCUACGAGUACAUCAGCCAGGGCCUCAAGGAGUAAGGGCUCCAUCAACGACCUCCCUCAGUUAUGUUAUCUAUAUCAGUCUUCUAUCUGAUCCUGAUGCUGACCAAGGGCCUUCUUCUUCUUCUUCUUCUUCUUCUUCCUUUGUCCCCGUUUUUCAGGCUGAACCUCGACAACACCAUGGACGGCUUCUACAUCGCGCCCGCCUUCAUGGACAAGCUCACCGUCCACAUCACGAAGAACUUCUUGAACCUGCCGAGCAUCAAGGUAGGAUUCUCUCUCCCCCAUUGGUUCGGUGGAGAGGAUAACGGCCGGAAAUGGGCAGGGUUCUGAUCUCGAAUCUCCGUCCGUGGUGGCAAUUUGACAGGUUCCCCUCAUCCUGGGUAUCUGGGGAGGCAAGGGUCAAGGGAAGUCCUUCCAGUGCGAACUCGUGUUCGCCAAAUUGGGCAUUAAGUGAGUCGAAUCUCCCUCUGACCUCAGUUCCCAAUGUGUUUCCGGGUGAGAGAUUGCCCUCUGAAAAUGGACCGCUAUGCAGCCCCAUCAUGAUGAGCGCCGGAGAACUGGAGAGCGGGAACGCCGGUGAGCCGGCGAAGCUGAUCAGGCAGAGGUACAGGGAGGCCGCCGACAUCAUCAAGAAGGGGAAGAUGUGCGCGCUCUUCAUCAACGACCUCGACGCCGGCGCCGGGCGGAUGGGCGGCACCACCCAGUACACGGUCAACAACCAGAUGGUGAACGCCACCCUGAUGAACAUCGCCGACAACCCGACCAACGUCCAGCUCCCCGGCAUGUACAACAAGCAGGAGAACGCCCGCGUGCCCAUCAUCGUCACCGGCAACGACUUCUCCACCCUGUACGCUCCUCUCAUCCGUGACGGUCGCAUGGAGAAAUUCUACUGGGCGCCCACCAGAGAUGACCGGAUCGGCGUCUGCACCGGCAUCUUCAGAGCCGACAACGUCCCCAGGGAGGACAUCAUCAAGCUCGUCGACACCUUCCCCGGCCAGUCCAUUGGUGAGAAUGCCGCCCUCCCACCCUCCUCCUGCCAUCUGGCCUCGGCCGCCGCUGACCCUUCUCCUUCGUCUUCUUCCUGAAGAUUUCUUCGGCGCCCUGAGGGCGAGGGUCUACGACGACGAGGUGAGGAAGUGGAUCGUCGACAUCGGCAUUGAGAACGUCGGCAAGAGGCUCGUGAACUCGCGGGAAGGACCGCCGACGUUCCAGCAGCCGAAGAUGACCCUGGAGAAGCUGCUGGAGUACGGCUCCAUGCUGGUGAAGGAACAGGAGAACGUUAAGAGGGUUCAGCUGGCCGACAAGUACCUCAGCGAGGCGGCUCUCGGGGACGCCAACGCCGACGCCAUGAAGACCGGAGCCUUCUACAGUUGAGCAGCUCUAAUCCCCCAUUUGAUUGCGCACGCUUGGCCAACUCCCACCACCUUCCUUCCGAGUCGUCAUCCUAUUGCUGUUCUCACCCCCUCCCAACCCGCGUCAUCCCCCGCCGAGUCAACUCGGUGGGUCUACGGCAGCCGCCUUUCCAGUCUAUGAACGUGUCAGUUGCAAUACGAUGUACCAGCAUCUCAGGCAAACGGAGAGAGAAUUGAAUCUCCAUUUUAAGAGCCUUGUUCUCGGUAAAAUAUCAGAUGGGUCGCUUACAACGGGGAAUUAUUUUCGGAAUAUAUCAAGACAAAUCUUAAUAUCAAC
rnacentral:lncRNA from 1 species